GCCUAGCUAGCUCAAUCGGUAGAGCGUGUGACUCUUAAAGUUUCUGACGGAAAAUUGAAGUCAUCACAAGGUUGGGGGUUCGACCCCCCCGUUGGGCU
rnacentral:tRNA from 1 species